rnacentral:rRNA from 1 species
GAUGAACGCUGGCGGCGUGCUUAACACAUGCAAGUCGAGCGAACAGACGAGGCGCUUGCGCCUCUGACGUUAGCGGAGCGCGGGUGAGAAACAUGUGUAUAACCUGCCUAUAUGACGGGGAUAAUUACGGGAAACCGGAGCUAAUACCGGAGAAUCUAUUGAAGCGCAGGGUGCAUUGGUGAAAGACGGUGGUGGUGUCACGUAUAGAGGGAUCCGCGCCGCAUUAGCUAGUUGGGAAGUUAACGGCUUACCAAGGGAACGAGGCGUAGCCGAACUGCGAGACUGAUCGGCCACACUAGAGGUGAACCAGGGUCCAGACUCCUACGAUAGGCAGCAGUAGGGAAUCGUCGGCAGUGGGCGGAAGCAUGACGGAGCAGCGGGGAGUGAGUGAUGAAGGUCUUGGGUUCGUAAUGCUCUGUUUUUAGGGAAAAACAAAUGUGUCAGUAACUAUGCCCGUAUUGACGGUAACUAAUCAGAAAGCCCCGGCUAACUACGUG